AUGUACGAGGAUAUCUUCCAGACACCUUAUGCCAUUAACGGGUUUGUAAAAUCCUACAUAGCUGAACUCAAGGCAAUCCAGACUCCGACGGCCGUUGGGGUCAGGGCUCCACAAGCUCGAGGUAACAGAUGGAUUGCACCACCACAGGGCCUGGUGAAGAUCAAUGUUGAUGCCGCCGUAGGCCGGGAGAGAGGUGCGGCAGGAGCUAUCUGUAGAGAUCAGGAUGGAGCCUUCUUGGGAGCUUCGGCGGUGGUCUUCUCUCAUCUUUCAGAUCCAGGCACUUUGGAGAUGCUCGCUAUUAGGGAAGCCCUGGCACUGGCAGAUGACAUAUAUGUCAGGAGGAUUCAUGUUGCGUCGGACUGUAAAGUGGCCGUGGAUGACAUCCAUCAACAAUGCAAAGGAAGCUAUGGGGCUAUUGCACAUGAAAUCAUACAGCAUAGGGCAGAAUUUGAGGUUUGUAAUAUACGUCAUGAGUUUAGGAGCUCGAACAUCGAAGCUCACAAACUAGCAAAGCACGCUUUAUCUCUCGGGGUUGGUCGCCAUGUUUGGUUAGGCCAGCCCAACGAUCUUGAUUUCGUCCCUGUAAACAUUGUGACGACGUAA
rnacentral:rRNA from 1 species